CCUACGGGGGGCAGCAGUGGGGAAUGUUGGACAAUGGGCGCAAGCCUGAUCCAGCGAUGCCGCGUGUGGGAAGACGGCCUUCGGGUUGUAAACCACUUUUGUAGAGAACGAAAAGUCUGUUGAUAAUACCGAUAGAUGAUGACGGUACUCUAAGAAUAAGCACCGGCUAACUACGUGCCAGCAGCCGCGGUAAUACGUAGGGUGCGAGCGUUAAUCGGAAUUACUGGGCGUAAAGGGUGUGCAGGCGGUUUUGCAAGAUGGAUGUGAAAGCCCCGGGCUUAACCUGGGAAAGCCAUACAUGACUGCAAGACUAGAGUGCGUCAGAGGGGGGUGGAAUUCCAAGUGUAGCAGUGAAAUGCGUAGAUAUUUGGAAGAACACCGAUGGCGAAGGCAGCCCCCUGGGACGCAACUGACGCUCAUACACGAAAGCGUGGGGAGCAAACAGGAUUAGAUACCCUUGUAGUC
rnacentral:rRNA from 1 species